UCGCGGACGUUUCGCGACAUCUCUAGCCAACACUGGUAUGUGUGUGUAUAUAUUUUUUUAUUUAUUUUUUUUUUUUUUAAAUUGGGGUCAUAUUGGGACAUAUAAAAAAAAAAAAAAAAAGACAACUCUGUUCCGCAGAGUAGCUGUUGACAUUAUAGUUGCGCAGGAACUUUGUUGACUCUAGAGAACUCGGGCAAAUCGCACAUCCCCGUGGCGGCGACUUUGCAUGUGGAUGUCAUCCAUAUCAACUUUCUAUGCCAGUUUCUGCACCUACCAUGGUGACCACGGGUAACGGGGAAUCAGGGUUCCAUUCCGUACAGGGACCCUGAGAAACGGCUACCACAUGCAAGGAAGGCAGCAGGCGCGCAAAUGACCCACUCCUGAUGCGGGAAGGUAGUGACGA
rnacentral:rRNA from 1 species